AUUUUCCACAAUGGGGGCAACCCUGAUGGAGCAACGCCGCGUGCAGGAUGAAGGCCUUCGGGUUGUAAACUGCUUUUGUCUGUGACGAAUAUGACGGUAGCAGACGAAUAAGUCACGGCUAACUACGUGCCAGCAGCCGCGGUAAUACGUAGGUGGCGAACGUUGUCCGGAUUCACUGGGCGUAAAGCGCGCGCAGGCGGGUUGGUAAGUCUGAUGUGAAAGCUCCCGGCUCAACUGGGAGAAGCCAUUGGAUACUGCUAGCCUUGAGACACUUAGAGGAGAGUGGAAUUCCCGGUGUAGUGGUGGAAUGCGUAGAUAUCGGGAGGAACACCAGUGGCGAAAGCGGCUCUCUGGGAGUGUUCUGACGCUGAGGCGCGAAAGCGUGGGGAGCAA
rnacentral:rRNA from 1 species